CGUGGACAGGCGAUCGCGCGGCCUUGGGCUCCGGCAACGGCGUCUCGGGCCGUGAGGAAAGUCCGAACACGGUUGGACACGGUGGUGGGUAACGCCCACCGGGCUCGUUGGGCCUAGGGACAGUGCCACAGAGAAAAGACCGCCUACGUCAGGCUCCGGUUCGCCGGUGGCUUGGCCGGCAAGGGUGAAACGGUGCGGUAAGAGCGCACCGCCCUGACGGCGACGUCAGGGGCACGGCAAACCCCACCGCGUGCAAGCGCAAACAGUCUUCCGGUUCCGGGUGCCUUGACGCCCGAACCCUCGACGGUCCGUCGAGCGUGGGGACGGGUAGCGUGCUUGAGGCGCUCGGCGACGGGCGUCCCAGAGAAAUGAUCGCCGCCCCCAUCCAGCAAUGGGCGGGGGAACAGAAUUCGGCUUACGUCCACGCAAC
rnacentral:RNase_P_RNA from 1 species